CCUACGGGUGGCAGCAGUGAGGAAUAUUGGUCAAUGGACGAGAGUCUGAACCAGCCAAGUAGCGUGAAGGAUGACUGCCCUAUUGGUUGUAAACUUCUUUUAUAUGGGAAUAAAAUGUUCCCAGUGUGGGAUUUUGUAUGUACCAUAUGAAUAAGAAUAGGCUAACUCCGUGCCAUCAGCCGCGGUAAUACGGAGGAUCCGAGCUUUAUACGGAUUUAUUGGGUUUAAAGGGAUCGUAGGUGUGUUGUUAAGUCAGUUGUGAAAGUUUGCGGCUCAACCGUAAAAUUGCAGUUGAAACUGGCAGUCGUGAGUACAGUAGAGGUGGGCGGAAUUCGUGGUGUAGCGGUGAAAUGCUUAGAUAUCACGAAGAACUCCGAUGGCGAAGGCAGUUCACUGGACUGCAACUGACACUGAGGCUCGAAAGUGUGGGUAUCAAACAGGAUUAGAUACCCCUGUAGUC
rnacentral:rRNA from 1 species